AUCUUGCAUAGUCUGUAUAAUUAAAGGGACCAUUUGUAUGUUCUUUAACUGUAUAGUCAGUCAUUAUUUCUUUGUAAUUUACACUUACUGCUAAACUGUCACUGUAAAAUACUCCCAUGAGAAAAAGAACGUGAUAUAAAGGUUGCAAUAUUUACCUUAAAUAAAAUGAAUGAUGCAGUAUGGCUGCCUGUUGAGUAUACUUGAAAUAAUUUAGGAGAAAAGAUGAUGAUCACAGUAAGGCUACCUUUAUUCGUGGGGUGACAAGUGAAGAUGGCAUUACUUGUCUUGCAGUUAUUUCAUAAAAAAAUGCAUUGUACAGCAUUUUGAUAGUCACAUGAUCUUAUGUAAAUCAACUGGGUUUUUUUCUGCUAUAUAUGUGAAAGCAUCAGAAACAGACUUGAGGUAAAGCGUUCUCAUUCAUAUAAGGAGCCAUUAAGCUGGAGCUCUUAAUGCUGUUUUCUACCUCCUCCCCAGUAGCACUGAUGGAUGGAAAAACACUAAUUCACUGAGGAAAUACUUAUGUUAAAUAAUCCUAUAUGUGGCAGUUAAGAAAAGUUUUUGGCAUAGAUGAAGGAUUAGUGCCAGGAAUUUCCACCAUUUUUAGAAACUGGGGUGUUUUUGAUAAUUGUGUUCUUUUCUGCCAGCACACAGUAGCAUGUAAAAUGAAAGCAUUUAACAUCUUGCCUCAUCUCUGAAGGCAGUUCCCCAAAUGGUGCCUGUUCUUAUCCCCCUCAUACAGUCUUUCCCCUUCUGCAUAUAGGAAUUGUAAAUGGGAAAUGCAGUCUCAUAGGUCCAUUUAUGAAAAUAGGCUGUUACUGGCCACAGGCAAGGGAGAGCUAUGUGCUAAUGCAUUACAUCAAUCAUAGAGUUUGUGGUGAGGAAUGUUGUCUCGGGACAGAAUUCUGAAGGAAUUCUACCCUGGCUAGGUAGUUCUGAUUUCCCUGUGUAUGGAGGAGCAUUUGUUUAUGCUUUGGUUUGUGACUUUUUACAAUAAGCUGAAGGACUGCUAUCUGGAAGCAACAGAUGAAAGGAAGUUACCUUAUGAUCAGUGAUAGCCAUAGAUCUGCUCUAGGUCUGAAAGAUGCAGUUCUAGCGUUCAUCAGAAAAUGAACAGUUCGUCAACGGACAAGGCAGAAGAGAGACCUUUACAAGUGUUAUAUUCAUGACCCAUCUCAGAGGCUUAGGAAUAAUUCAAAUCUGUUGCAGUGUGAGAAAGCAGCAGUAACUUGUAUUAUACAAUAGAGGCAACAAAAAAGUUUUGAGUUGCAGGGACUGGAAUUACCUUAUAGAGUACAAAAAUCAAGCAUAAGGAAAUGAGAGCAUUAGCACAAGCCUUAUAAAAACAAGAACCAGCUUUAAUAAAUCUAGGCUAGAAAUGCAAUUUAGACUCAACUUUGCAAGGUUCUGUUGCUGUUCAGGUAACCUGCCAUAUGACUUAAAGUAAGAUCUGUUUGAGGUACAGAGCAACUCUUAAAGCAAGCAGCCUGGUUCUGGCAGCAGUCUUACACAAAGCAUCUAUGUACUUUUCUGCAAGAUAAGCCAUUAGCUGUCCUAGCUAGUUCCUUCCACCCCUUCCCAUUUUGCACAGCUUUCAUCAAUCCCAAUUUUCCAUGACAGUAUUUUGCUCCUCCUUUUCAAGGACAUCUGUACCUUUGCAUACAUAUUACACAGUACACGCUCUGUCUAAAUACUGCUAAUGGGACCCCCUAAUACUUGAGGUACAUUAGUACUUGAAUCAAAUCAGUGAACUGAAACAUAAGCCACAAGUGCCUACCUUACCUCCAUAGCGAACAAUAAGUUUUCACUGAAAGUACAGAAACGCCUGUUAUUAAGUGUUUUUUUCUUUUGUACCUAUCAUCUACAUUUGCUUGUCAUAGGACUUCUGUUUCUUUAAAGUACUUGAUAGUCUACCUCUGAGACCAGAUCCUGACUUCAACAUAAUUCCUAUACUGUCUUACUAUAGCACAUAACCCCCCCUUUAUCUUUACUAGCCACUUUCAUGCUUAGUGUACAGUUAUGGUACAGCAGCUCCCAGGGCACAAGUAAUAGGUUUCUAUUAUAUUAAGUUUUAUUUAACUUUAUUAAACCUACUUCUCAGAUGAAGGCUUGGUAACCAUGACAUUACAUGGCAAGGGGACAGAUGGGAAAACACAUAUGCUUAGGCACAAAGAAAACCAUGAUGGUUCUCAUCCAUAAUUGUUACUUUUUAGGAAUCAUUUGAAUCAUAUCUACAGUACUCUAGUCACAGUAACUUUAUCUCCAGUUUUGUUUCAACCUUAACCUCUGCUAAAAUGAAUCUUAGAGAAAGCUUUAAGUAGUUCAUAGCACUAGCUGAGUAGCCCCCAACACAAUCUUUGUUUUUUAAGCCAAAAGAGCAAAAUGCUUUAUCUUAAGAGGAAUUUAGCAAAGGUUUUCUUCACAAAUACCUCUUCAUUCAUCGUCUAGAAAUUAAACGUAACAGAAGUAGCAGUUCAGCCUAUAUUUAGGUGUUAGGUGACUGAAGCUUAAAACAGUUCUGUUGCUGUAUAUGCUGGACCGUAAAUAAGUUAAGACUCAGGAAUGUACAGAAGAUAAAAAGAUGUCACUUUUAAGCAGGAGCAGCAGAUCUAUGGAGUAAAGUCCCAGAAAGGUUCAAUUAAGAAUACAAUACAUUCAGAAGAGUGUAUUUAUUAAGAGCAACAAAAAGGUUUUGCAAGCUUUACUUCCAAAUAAUUACACCUGGUACUGACUGAACAGAUUCAUUAAAAGAAAACUCUUGCUGGUACUGUACUCUCAAGAAAGGCUUUUCUAUGGGAACCAAAAACUUGUACAGAAAGCAGAGUCUGUGCAGUUUAGUGAAUAACAUGGCCUGCCCUAUAGGGUUCAGACUUCCUUCUGAAGUCCACAACAUGUGUAUGUGCAUGCCUGUUAGCAGUCAGUUUACACAUUGAAACAGCGCGCUGUCAAGUUUGCUAUACAAGGACAGUGGGUACUCUGAGAGCCAACUUUCAACAACUUCCCAUACAAGUAUUCUACCAUUUAACUGCAAUGGAGAGCCUCAGAUACACUUUCUGUGGUUUCAUCUGCAUUACUGCAGAAAGACUGUCCAUUAAAUACAGAAUCUGCUUCUGCUCAUCAUCAUGUAAUGAGUACAGUAAUACAAAAGACAUUGUCUUAAAUGUGUAAGUCCAUAUCCUAAAAUAGCAAAUUAAAUAAGUAUCAAAUUCGGUUCAAACACUAGCUGUAGGUAUUUACUUGUAUUAGGGCUGAAAGCUGUCACAAUCUACUGUAAGUCAAGAGCUUCCUGAGUUCUCUACGUAUUGCCAAUCCUUAGUUUCACAGUGCAGAGAUUACUGGUAAACACAUUCACAGCUCAGGUUAACAGGAACAAGAAGUUUGGAACUUUAAGGCUAUAUACUAAAAGUUCUCUUAGAAAUUUGUCAUAACGUGGAUCCCUUCAAGUGCUAUUAAAGCUGAAGGAAUAAAGUGUAUCUUUUUCAUAACUAAAAAUGGUUAUACUUCAGUUACUCAGAUUUUUUUACCUUACUGAUCAGAAACACACUAGAAUGGGACUUAAGGCAAAUACAUGUAUUAACUUAAAAAA